UUAAACGACGCCGGUAAACAAACUUCAGUUAGAUUUCAGAGCGAGAAGAAAAUGAUCCUCGCGGUGCUGUUUGCGAACGCGGAGGGCAAUAUCCUCAUCGAACGUUUUCAUGGAGUUCCUGCGGAGGAGCGUCUACACUGGCGUUCUUUCUUGGUCAAACUAGGAGCUGACAAUCUUAAGGGUAUAAAAAAUGAAGAACUUCUAGUUGCUUGCCACAAGUCAGUUUAUAUUGUAUACACAAUACUUGGAGAUGUCAGUAUAUACGUCGUGGGGAAGGACGAGUACGAUGAACUUGCUUUGUCGGAGGUGAUCUUUACAAUAACCUCAGCUGUAAAGGAUGUAUGUGGGAAGCCCCCAACUGAGCGCCGUUUCCUUGAUAAGUAUGGAAGAAUUUGCUUGUGUUUGGAUGAAAUUGUAUGGAAGGUGAGAAAAAUUGGUGGACAAUGUUUAGUAAAAGAUCACAGCUAACUUCUGAAAAUGCUCUCGGUUUACUUGUUCAUUCUACUUACCUUAGACACAGUGGAUAUUUGGAAAAUACGGAAAAAGAUAGAAUCAAGAGAUUGAUAAGGUUGAAGCCUCCUACUGAGUUCUGAAUGAGAAAUUCUGAGGCAGUCAUUAUAGAAUCAGUGGUUUGAGUUGUGUGUUGAGCAUCUUGUGCUUAGAAUGGCAUGUAACAGAAGCCAGGCAAAAACCUCUAGGUAUGAUAUUCUAUUAUCUAAUAUGGUGCAGGUGAGGAUUUUGCUCAGCCCAUAAAUACUUGUACUAUCAUCAAUAUUCUUGAUUAAACAUUUUGUUAUGUUGUAACAUCUAUAUUGUUGAUUUCAUUCUACCUUUACCUUGUGCAAUGUGUAUUUUUUUCAUUCUUUCU